AACGCAUCUUCCGCAAUGCACGAAAGUGUGACGGAGCGACGCCGCGUGUAGGACGAAGCCCUUCGGGGUGUAAACUACUGUCAGGGGUUAGAAAGUUCUGAUCAACCCCAGAGGAAGGCACGGCUAACUCUGUGCCAGCAGCCGCGGUAAGACAGAGGUGCCAAGCGUUAGGCGGAAUCACUGGGCUUAAAGCGUGUGUAGGCGGAUUGGUAAGUACCUUGUGAAAUCCCACGGCUCAACCGUGGAACUGCUUGGUAUACCGCUUAUCUUGAGCCACUUAGGGGCUACCGGAACAAAUGGUGGAGCGGUGAAAUGCGUAGAUAUCAUUUGGAACGCCAAUGGUGAAAACAGGUAGCUGGGAGUGUGCUGACGCUGAGACACGAAAGCCAGGGGAGCGAAC
rnacentral:rRNA from 1 species